rnacentral:rRNA from 1 species
UAAACGACUCUCGGCAACGGAUAUCUCGGCUCUCGCAUCGAUGAAGAACGUAGCGAAAUGCGAUACUUGGUGUGAAUUGCAGAAUCCCGCGAACCAUCGAGUCUUUGAACGCAAGUUGCACCCGAAGCCAUUAGGUUGAGGGCACGUCUGCCUGGGCGUCUCAC